rnacentral:lncRNA from 1 species
GCCUGCUUUUUCUAGCCACGCUGGCAGCCAAUUCGAUGGUGCCCACCCACAUUGUGGGUGGGUCUUCCUGAGUUGAUUUGCGUUGAUUGAAAAGAUGAUAGAGUUGCCUGAUGCAUUCUGAGACCCAUGCAGAGAAUAAAGUAAAUGCAGAUUUGGAUGUGAACAUAAAGGAGGAAAAUGAGAUGAGCGAUAAUGCUGAAAUGCUGAUAGUUCCCGGAGCCUUCACUGUCUUCAUGAUUAGAUCCCUCCAUACUCUCCAUCACUAAUGCCUUGGCUGGAGAUUACCAUUCAGAGACCAUGUACUGAGCAGAUAAAUGCCAAUCAUCACAGCAUUGUCUCAGGCCUAAAUGAAUAAAGGCAUGACACUGAGAUUGAAGGCUAGUUCUACUUCAGAACCACAGAGACAUGAGCACCAGCAAGUUUGAGGUUGGAUAAGGAUCUUCAGAACUCCUCAGCUUCAGAUGGUCAAGCACUGCUUCCUCCCUUCUUCAACGGCAUCUCUAGCAUGAAGAGGCACAACAGAGUCCAUGCCUUCACCUCCUCUGGCCAACUCUAAUCAUGAAUCUCCUGUGAAUCAGCUGGGAAACAUGCAGAAUAUGAGAUUGGGGCCCUCAUUCAUACUAACUGGAAUUUUCCUUGGCAAUGGUAGAACAGAAGCUUCUCCAUUCUUUACAGAUGAAUUUGCUUUAAGUAAGAUCUUCCCAGAGUACAAAAGAAAUUUAUUCGGAAAAUUUCAAACUAAUAUGGCCUUCUCACUGGAACUGGAUCCACCAUCCCUUUUGCUCAGUGUCGUCUUGUUUAUGUUUUAGAUCCUUUGCAAGGUGAGCUACACCUCUGAGAGGAGCUCCUGGAAAUUACCAGAUACUUAAUGUUGCCAGCUGUUACAGAUGGAGGUGAUGCACCUUGAUGAUGCAUAAGUACUGAGCCUGAAUCCUACAAAUGGGAAAAGGUGCUCAUAUCAGACUUAUGCAUUAGAUAUCAAACUACAAAAUACAAGUGCAGUUGAUACCUGUUUAGAUGAUGUAGAGCAAGGUAACAGAGUAUGUAUUAAAAGCAAAAAUUCCCAUGAAGCUGAACCGUUACUCUCUGCCAAAACCUCCCACUCUCAAGUUUUAAGAGCCAAUAAACCUUGUAUCUGUACGUUCAGCUUUGCCUUUUUUUUCCCAGGACUGUAAACCUCUGUCAAGGUUUACCAUGUUUCAUUGAUUUUAUUUUUUCUAGCACCAACAUAAUGCUCAUAUAGUAAUGAGGAUGAAAUAAUUUAUUUUUUUCCUGCUCAUCGUGUCAUUGUGAAUGUUCUGCUAUCAUACAAAAAAAACCACACUUUAUUUAAAAAUAUUUGCUGAGCAAAUAUAAACCACUGUGCAUUUUUCUGAGCACCAGUAAGACAGCCAAGUAUAAAGGGGUCCCCAAAGAAACUCUGACCAGCCUGCACAC